rnacentral:lncRNA from 1 species
UUUUUGCAGUCAAAAGACAGGACACAAAAUUUGAACCCUAUAUGAGAGUGAGAGUGAGAGUGAGAGUGGAGUAACACAUGGCAGUAUUUUCUUGAUUUCUCCGCAACCCCCUUUUCACACAGUCCUCUUCAGCUUCAUCAUUCAUACUUCUCUACAUUUUCCUCUCAGAUUAAGUAAAAAUCAGUAAAAAUGGCUCUGCUUCUACAGUCUUGAUAUUGGUAAACAGUAACCCCUUUUAUUCAUCUUUUUUUUUGUUUUACCUGUUAAUCUUUUACUUUAUUUAUCUUUUAUGCUAUUAUUUGCAUGCAUUUGCUUGUGAUUUUACUCUGUUUGUGCUUGAUUCCUUUGGCUUUAGGUCAUGAAGUAUUCUGCUUCUUCUCCUCUGUCUGCUUUCAUUUUCAGACCGUAGAAUAUUCAAAAAGAAAUGAGGUCUUAUUUUAUGCAAAAGCAAAAAGAAAACAGAGGAGCUUUUAGUUUUUUCUUUUACCUUUAUACAUUUUCACUCGGAGUUUACUUACACAGACAUUUUUUUCCUUCAGAAUUUCUAUAGUUAUUGAAUAUCAAAACCUUUUUUUUUCCACCCUUUUUUAUUUCUUUAUUUUUUCAUGAAGAAUGAGCUCUAAGUUAGUUAUUUGGUUUGACAUUAUUCUUUGUACUUUUAGACAAAAGAAAGAAAUUAAUAAUGUCCUUAAUAAUAUACCUUCUCCUUGAAUUGAAUGAUCUCUAUCAGUAGCAUUUUAAAUUAAGAAAUGUCUCAUUAUGAAAAGUGAUGUUUUUUUUUUAUAAUCAUGGUGUCUAGGCCAGCUUGUGCGUAUCUCACCUAAUUCCAAUGAGUACCUGCUACCUCCCACCAAC